rnacentral:hammerhead_ribozyme from 1 species
AUCCAGUUGCUGACUAGUCCCAAAUAGGACGAAAUACGCAUCCUGGAU